rnacentral:rRNA from 1 species
CCCUUAGAUGUUCUGGGCGGCCCGCGCACUACAAUGGCGUGUGCAGCGAGUGCCGAAGUAGGGUUUUCCGAGGUAUUCCUGCAAUGCUCGUUUUGAUGGGGAUAGACCCUUGCAACUGUUGGUUUUGAACGAGGAAUUCCUUGUAAGCAUGGUUUAUCAUCCGACGCUGAAUGCGUCCCUGCCCUUUGUACACACCGCCCGUCGCUCCUACCGAUGAGUCGUCCGGUGAAGUUCGUAGACCUCGUGAUCGCGGAUCACUGGGGGAAGCAAAAUGAACCUCGCGGUUUAGAGGAAGGAGAAGUCGUAACA